UAAUCUAAACUAAACAGUUCAGAUAAUUGAAGUUAAAGCCUCACAAGCUACCAUUUUUGUAAAUUUGAGAUUAAUCGACCAUUAUUUUCUCUGUUUCUUUUCUGGGUGUGCUUAGAGCUUCCUGUUCCUGGUGUGCAAGAUGACGUUGCGGAGAAGCUCGGUUUCGAGAAGGUCUCCGAAGAGUUCAUCGGAUACUGCAACGCCAACGCUGUGCUUUUCCGGCACAAAAAGACGGGUGCCCAAAUCAUGUCUCUGUCCAACACCUCCAAGAAAAGGGUCUUCGGCAUUACUUUCCAAACGAUACAGAACGAUUCGACUGGAGUGGCCAACAUAUUGCAGCAGAGUGUGAUAUGUGGGUCAAGAAAGUACCCAUUGAAAAGACCAUUUGACGUGUUGGUUUUAAAGAGCUUCAGUACUUAUAUGUAUUGUAAAGUCAUGGCUGAUAGGACCUAUUACUCUGGUAAUUGCACAACUACAAAGGAAUUGCAUAAUUUCGUUGAUCUACUCCCGAUGCUGUCUUCUUUCCUAAUUGUGUGGAGGACAUCCAGAUUUUCUGGCAACAGGGUUUGCGUUAUGAGCUUAACGACCCAUCCGAAGAUUUAUCUUAUCAAGGACUUGUCUUCAAUCAGAUGAAGAAAUUCCAAUUUUGGCCACUGGCGAGAGAUGUACUGAAGCUUACUGCUCGACAGGCAA